GGGGCUGUAGCUCAGUGGUAGAGCUCUUGUCUCACAUGUAUGAGGCCCUGGGUUCGAUCUUCAGCACCA
rnacentral:tRNA from 1 species